rnacentral:lncRNA from 1 species
CCGGAGCCGCCCGGAGCCGCCGGGAGCAGGCUCGGGCCGCGGCAGCCCCGCGGGGAGGCAGCGAGGGGCCCCUCGCCGAAAGCGCGAACACCCCCCACACCCCCGCCCCGCCGCCUCCGCCCGCCCCCAGCGAAGAGAAACAAAACACAACCCCGGCACCGCCACGCUCUCCCUCCUUCUCCUCUCGGCAUUUGGUGGUUGUUUUUUGGGGUUUUUUAAAAUUUAUUUUUUCUUUUCUUUUUUUUUUUUUUUUUUUUUUUUUUUUUUUUUUUCUUUUUUUUUUUUUUUUUUUUUUUUUUUUUUUAUUUUUUUUACUGGGGAUUCUCCUCUCUCCUGCCAGACUGACUUAUACGUUCUUGAUAAUUUCUCUUCCCCUCAUUUUUUAUACUCUUCUCCCUGCUUCCAAACCCUGUGUCUGUGUGUUUCAAUACUAUCACAACCUCUGCUAAAUAUAGAUCUUUUUAUACCCUUCCUCCUCUCUGACCCCAUCCAACACCCCUUGUUAAGGUCUUACACCCAGAGCAAGAAAAGUAAAUUCACUUGGCUUACAUAUCUCUAAGGAACCUGAUGCAUGAGUGGACUAGAGAAGAGAAAGAGAGAAAAACUCCCAAGACCUACAGAUCAUCUGGCUGGCAGGGUGAGUAAAUGUCCUGUCAUCACAGUCAUGUGUUGUCAGGUACACAAUGAGUGAGCCUGCUUUAAGCAUUGCCUAAGAAAUUAUUUAUCCAAUAAUUGUUGAGAAAAAGAAGAUCAAAAUGUGUCAUGUUUCCAGGACUCUGACACUGGUGCCUCACAUGCAUUCAGAAGCACUAAGCCAAAUAUCUCCUAUAUUUUCAGUUUAAGCACUGAACAUGGAUUUAAUAGGCAGGCAAUUCUAUAUAGGAAGGAGAGGGUUAAUGUAUGCUGUGCUGUUAAAGCCAUUUUCAAAUGUGGCAGGUGAAACAAAAAUAUCCAUUACUGAAUCAGUCCAAAUGCCUCAUGAUUCAUAAAGAGAUUCAGAAAAGGAAAGAAAGGAGGAAAACUCAUCUGCACAGUGCUGACUGUACUUAGAUUGCUAUUGAUAUGGGUCUGUGUUCCCUGCUUUUCACAUAAGCAACUUUUUAUUGUUUACAAAACACAAUUACAAAAAAAAUUACCUAGCUGAGAAGCAGACAUGCAGUAGACUUAUGUAAUAGUCAAAAUCUGAUUAAAUUAUCCCCUUUUCUUUCUGGCUUUGCCUGUUCCAAAAAGUGGUAGAAGCAGAAACUGUAGCAGGUUCUGGACCAUUUCCUCCAGUUCACAGCAGUGAGUCAGGGGUUCUGUCAAGUAUCAACAACCAAUGUAAGGGAAUCAAGAGCCACAUGUCCAGAGGAUGACUUAUUUUUCAAAAGGAUGAUGCAAAUAGAAAUAGACAAACACAGAAGAAAAUAUGACUCGAAGAUUACCUCCGAGUUCUCUGUCUGGUGGUUUGUGUCUCUACCAAAGACAUAAUAAAAAUGUUUCCCUCCUCCA